rnacentral:rRNA from 1 species
UACGUAGGGGGCAAGCGUUGUCCGGAUUUAUUGGGCGUAAAGAGCGUGUAGGCGGCCUGAAAGGUCAGCUGUGAAAACUCGAGGCUCAACCUCGAGACGUCGGUUGAAACCAUCUGGCUAGAGUCCGGAAGAGGAGAGUGGAAUUCCCGGUGUAGCGGUGAAAUGCGCAGAUAUCGGGAGGAACACCAGUGGCGAAGGCGGUUGCCUGGAGCUUUGCUGACGCUGAGGAGCGAAAGCAUGGGGAGCGAACAGG